rnacentral:rRNA from 1 species
UAGGGAAUCUUCGGCAAUGGGGGGAACCCUGACCGAGCAACGCCGCGUGAGUGAAGAAGGUUUUCGGAUCGUAAAGCUCUGUUGUUAAGGAAGAACGAGUGUGAGAAUGGAAAGUUCAUACUGUGACGGUACUUAACCAGAAAGGGACGGCUAACUACGUGCCAGCAGCCGCGGUAAUACGUAGGUCCCGAGCGUUGUCCGGAUUUAUUGGGCGUAAAGCGAGCGCAGGCGGUUAGAUAAGUCUGAAGUUAAAGGCAGUGGCUCAACCAUUGUAGGCUUUGGAAACUGGUUAACUUGAGUGCAGAAGGAGAGAGUGGAAUUCCAUGUGUAGCGGUGAAAUGCGUAGAUAUAUGGAGGAACACCGGUGGCGAAAGCGGCUCUCUGGUCUGUAACUGACGCUGAGGCUCGAAAGCGUGGGGAGCGAACAGG